rnacentral:rRNA from 1 species
CACCCCCGUGAGAACGCCCUCAUGCCCCCCUAGGGGGCAAGGAGCCGGUAUCAGGCACAACCUGUUAGCCCAAAACACCUAGCACAGCCACUCCCACAAGGGUAAUCAGCAGUGAUCAACUUUGAGUAUAAGCGACAGCUAGACUCAGUCAGAGUAAACUAGGGCCGGCAAAUCCGGUGCCAGCCGCCGCGGCUACACCGUGCAGGCUCGAGUUGAUGGCUCCGGCGUAAAGCGUGGUUAAAGUAUAUACAUCACUGGAAUUAAAUUAUAGCCAAGCUGUGACACGCUCGCUAUACAGAAACCCAAGUACGAAAGUCAUUCCAUUAAACUUGAACCCACGACAGUUAGGACACAAACUGGGAUUAGGAACCCCACUAUGCCUGACCGUAAACUUUCAAACUACAUCAACAACCGCCAGGACAUUACGAGCCAAGCUUAAAACCCAAAGGACUUGACGGCGCCCCAAAUCCCUCUAGAGGAGCCUGUUCUAUAAUCGAUAACACCCGUUAUACCUCACCACCCCUUGCCACAUUCAGCCUGUAUACCUCCGUCGCCAGCUCACCACAUGAGCGAACAUUAGUGAACUCAAUGGCCCCCGCCAAUACGUCAGGUCAAGGUGCAGCAUAUGUUGUGGGCAGAAAUGGGCUACACUUCCUACCCCCCUAGGAUACACAGAUGACCUAAUGAAACCUGGUCAGAAGGCGGAUUUAGCAGUAAAAG